ensembl:lncRNA
UAUUCAGAAUAAGUAUGAUACUACAUUGAUUCCUCACAUUUCCAGAUGAUGUGAUCAUUUGGACCAUGUUUCGUUUUUGUAGCAUGUCGUGUGUGAAUCUAUAAAAGCUCAGUUCUUUCUUGCCCUCUCUCAGACCUUUUUGUACAGGCCACUCGCUCUGGGAGUUGUCCGUGCUAUAUGAUAAGUCCAAAAUGCCCCCCUCUUAGGAACGAGCUCUGGAUGUUCAACAACUUUUACAUGGUUUCGCUUUACUCACGGCCCCCGUCUUCCCCGCACAGAUGUUGGAUACAUUACGAAACCUAUGAACAAUAAAGAAUGGCUUAAAGUUCUAAGGCUGCAAACAAAAGAAUGUUCUAAUGGCAGCAGCUUAUAUAUAUAUAAAAAAAGAUAUUUGGACAGGUUUAGGAUUCAAUUACUGUGUGAUUGAGUGUUGACAUUUUUGAGGCUACAUGACAGGAAAUUCAUUAGAAGCAGAGCAGCUUGGGAAGGAUUGCGGGCUGCCGUUAAAGGAAAUGGGUGAUUGCGAAAAGAAUGCUGCCGGAGGUAGAGAGUGGAGGUAGGCAGUGGAACAGAUGAAAGAGAAGCUGAAGAAUAAGAGUGUGGAACUCGCUCUCGUUGCCCGCAGUGAGGCAGAGGCCAGAGAGAGAUGCAGAUGGGCGCAUCCUCAGGUAAUCCAUCCAUUUAUGAGAAGGAUUGAUGGAUCUGAGGCAAACGCAACUGAGGUAAAGCCCACAUCUAUCUUGGCUAAGGGAUGUGGUCCACCGACAGGCUGGGAGGAGGAAUUACACGCACGAGCACGACGGCCCCUCAUAAAUCACUGCCGCCCAGGGAAAGUGUCACGUUCCAGCGCUUGGUGGGAAUUGGGCAGAGGAAACAGGAAGGGGAGCCGAUGA